AUGUAUAUGCUGUUGGUCACAACCGCUCAUUGGAGCAAGUAAAAAAGAAAUGGACGGAUUUGAAGUCCAUGGCCAAAAAGAAAGAGAUGAAAAGAAGGAGAAUGGCGGCAGGGACUGGUGGAGGACCAGCCCCACCAGAGCUUUCUGCCUUAGAAGAACAGAUUAUCAGUGUCAUCCCAGAUGAGAUGGUAGAGGGAAUUUCUGGAGGUGUUGAUACAUUUGCUUCCAUGCCUAAGAAAGCUAGAACAGAAGGUAAG